UAGCAGUCUCCAGCUGCAUCAAAAGCUGUAGCUGUUUUGUAUUUCUUUUGACGGGCUGCUCCUCUGCUUUUUUACAUUGGGUGUUUGCAGGAGCUUUGCUGAAUCACUUUCUCUUCAAAACUACGAAAUGUCUAUGUACCUUCAGUGCAAACAGAUCAGUACGAUGAUGGCGCUGCGUUCGUGGCAGACAGUGCACCCACAUAGACCCCUCAUCAGAUUCAGAAAUGGACCCAUGGCAGUGUCUUCAGAGCGCCCAAGUACCAUCUCAUCUGUUCAGGUGGCAGCGCCACCCAGCGCCCCUAGCGCCCCUAGCGGCGGCAGCAGGAAGUGGAGCGUGGUGCACGCCGGCCCCGUGCUGGAGGAGUGGCAGGUCCCGGCCCGCUACCGCCGCCUUCCGAUGGACGAAAAGGAGAUGGAGGCUAUCAAUAUGGGAGGCUCCGCGUAGCGCCGCGGUCGGCCGGCGGUAGCAGCGACGGCGCGAGAGCGAGUGUGAAUGACGGGUCGACUCCGAGUCGACCGGGCCGUCAGCGGCCGCCCGAGGCUCACCUCUCCCCAGGGUCCGACGGGUCACUGGCGCCGCGGCCGGCCGGCCGGCGGUAGCAGCGACAGGCGCGAGAGCGAGUGUGAGUGACUAGUCCACUCCGAGCCGACCACCGACCGGGCCGCCGUGCCGUCAGCGGCCGCCCGAGGCUCACCUCUCCCCAGGGUCCGGCGGACCACUGGCGCGGCGGGCUGUUUGCGCGAAACCAGAACUAUUUGUAAAUAGCGUGCGAAUGUAAUCGGGAACGCGCUGGGCUCGCAGGCGACAGCGGUCGGUACUCACCAAGCCUGGGAGAGGGGAGGGGGGUCCUGUAUUCUGGAAGCCUCUUGUUGAAAGUACUUCGUACAAGCUGCUGGUAAAAACGACCGGUCAUACUCGUAUGCAUUGUAGCUGAAUUGCUGGUGUUUGUUAUUCUGCGUUGAGUGUGCUAGGUCACGUAGAGAAUACACGCGCAUUCGGGAAUUA